rnacentral:misc_RNA from 1 species
GAUGAAGAACGUAGCAAAAUGCGAUACUUGGUGUGAAUUGCAGAAUCCCGUGAACCAUCGAGUUUUUGAACGCAAGUUGCGCCCGAAGCCUUUUGGCCGAGGGCACGUCUGCCUGGGCGUCACGCAUCGCGUCGCCCCCCACAAUCCUCCGUAAGGGGAACUCGUGUUUUGGGGGCGGAUAUUGGUCUCCCGUGCUCACGGCGUGGUUGGCCGAAAUAGGAGUCCCUUCGAUGGACGCACGAACUAGUGGUGGUCGUAAAAACCCUCGUCUUUUGUUUCGUGCUGUUAGUCGCAAGGGAAACUCUAAGAAAACCCCAACGUGUUGUCUUUUGACGGCGCUUCGACCGCGACCCCAGGUCAGGCGGGACUACCCGCUGAGUUUAAGCAUAUCAAUAAGCGGAGGA